rnacentral:rRNA from 1 species
UACGAAGGGGGCUAGCGUUGCUCGGAAUUACUGGGCGUAAAGGGCGCGUAGGCGGAUCGUUAAGUCAGAGGUGAAAUCCCAGGGCUCAACCCUGGAACUGCCUUUGAUACUGGCGAUCUUGAGUAUGAGAGAGGUAUGUGGAACUCCGAGUGUAGAGGUGAAAUUCGUAGAUAUUCGGAAGAACACCAGUGGCGAAGGCGGCCUUCUGGCCUUAACCUGACGCUGAGGAGCGAAAGCUAGGGGAGCAAACAGG